rnacentral:rRNA from 1 species
ACGGGGUGCAGCAGGCGCGAAAUCUUCACAAUGUGCGAAAGCACGAUGAGGGGAUCCCAAGUGCUGGCACGUAAGUGUCAGCUGUUUCUUAGUCUAAAAAACUGAGAGAGUAAGAGCUGGGUAAGACGGGUGCCAGCCGCCGCGGUAAUACCUGCAGCUCGAGUGGUGACCGCUAUUAUUGGGCCUAAAACGUCCGUAGCCUGUUUAGUAAAUGCUUGGGUAAAUUGUGUAGCUUAACUAUACGAACACCGGGUAGACUGCUAAACUUGGGACCGGGAGAGGCUAGAGGUACUCCUGGGGUAGAGGUGAAAUUCUGUAAUCCUAGGGGGACCACCAGUGGCGAAGGCGUCUAGCUAGAACGGGUCUGACGGUGAGGGACGAAGCCCUGGGGCGCGAACCGGAUUAGAUACCCGGGUAGUCCAGGGUGUAAACGCUGCUUGCUUGAUGUUAGUUGGGCUCCGAGCCCAACUAGUGUCGGAGAGAAGUUGUUAAGCAAGCUGCCUGGAAGUACGUCGCAAGAC